GAUGAACGCUGGCGGCGUGCCUAAUACAUGCAAGUCGAGCGAACAGACGAGGAGUUUGCGCCGCUGACGUUAGCGGCGGACGGGUGAGUAACACGUGGAUAACCUACCUGUAAGUCUGGUAUAACUUCGGGAAACCGGAGCUAAUACGGGAGAAUAUAUUGAAGCGCAUGGGUGAAUAGUGAAAGACGGUUUUGGUGUCACGUAUAGCGGGUUCUGCGCCGUAUUGGCUAGUUGGUAAGGUAACGGCCUACCAAGGCAACGAGGCGUAGGCGACGUGAGAGGCUGAUCGGCCACCCUGGAACUUAGACACCGUCAAGACUCCUGCGGGAGGCAGCAGAAUGCAACCUUCCGCAAUGGGCGAAAGCCUUACGGAGCAACGCCGAGUGAGAGAUGAAGGUCUUCGGAUCGUAAUGCUCUGUUAUUAGGUGAGAACAACUGUGUACGUAGACAUACACGUCUUGACGGUACCGAAUCAGAAAGCAACGGCUAACUACGUG
rnacentral:rRNA from 1 species